CGGGUGGCGGGAGGCUGCGGCUUCGGGCAGAUUUGAUUUUCCCGCAGCCCGGGCGCCCCGGAGCCGAAGCCCGAGCCGAGGAGGUGGCGCUCGCAGCCGCGUCUCAGCCCCGUCGCCGCCGGCGCCAAGACCCAGGGAGAGGCGGCGCAGCCCGGGCGCUCGGGCUCCGCGCUGCCGGCGCCCCGCCACCCCCGCCGCCAGCGCCCCAUCCGGCGCCUCCCGCUCCUCACGCCCCUCUCCCUGUCUUCUGCAUCCCCUCUACCUCUGCCCACAGACGCGCGUCCCUCUCCUGGUGCCCCUCUCCACGACUCCGCGUUUCCCUCCCGGUGCCCUCUCCCCGCGCCCCUCUCCCCGCGCCCCUCUCCCCGCGCCCCUCUCUGCCUUCCCCGCUGUGCCCCCGCUCCCUGGGCUCCUUGCCCUUCCCCACUGGGCCCCUAGCCUCCUCGCGGCGUCACCCGAGCCCCCUCCUCGAUCCGCGGCCCCCGCUCCCUCCGCCCUCUUCCCUCUCUCACUUCCCACGCCCCCUUUUCGCGCUCCUCUCUCCUCCCCUUGCCGCCCAGCCCAGGCUCUGGAGUUGGGGGAGAGCCCAGGGCUCCAGUCGCUCCGGAGGAGGCGUGAAUCUCGCAGGGAUUGACUAAUUUGGGGUGGGGGGUGCGGUGGGCGAUGGAGCAGCCUGAGGACAUGGCGUCGCUGAGCGAGUUCGACUCCUUGGCGGGCAGCAUCCCGGCCACCAAGGUGGAGAUCACCGUGUCCUGCAGGAACCUCCUGGACAAAGACAUGUUUUCCAAGUCCGACCCACUGUGCGUCAUGUAUACCCAAGGGAUGGAGAACAAGCAGUGGCGGGAGUUUGGGCGCACCGAAGUCAUCGACAACACGCUCAAUCCUGACUUCGUGCGCAAGUUCAUUGUGGAUUACUUUUUCGAGGAGAAGCAGAACCUCCGUUUUGAUCUAUACGACGUUGACUCUAAGAGUCCUGAUUUAUCCAAACACGAUUUCCUGGGCCAGGCCUUCUGCACCCUUGGAGAGAUUGUGGGGUCCCCUGGGAGCCGCCUGGAAAAGCCCCUCACGAUAGGUGCAUUCAGCCUGAAUUCCAGGACGGGCAAACCCAUGCCAGCUGUGUCCAACGGAAGUGGUCUUUGGAUGGAAAGUUUGAGAACCACUGGUCUGGAAGCCUCCGGUGGUGUCCCAGGAAAGAAAUGUGGCACCAUCAUCCUGUCCGCUGAGGAGCUCAGCAACUGUAGGGAUGUCGCCACCAUGCAGUUCUGUGCCAACAAGCUGGACAAGAAAGAUUUCUUCGGGAAAUCUGACCCCUUCUUGGUAUUCUACAGAAGCAACGAGGAUGGAACGUUCACCAUUUGCCACAAGACCGAGGUCAUGAAGAACACCCUAAAUCCAGUCUGGCAAACUUUCUCCAUUCCCGUGAGAGCCCUCUGCAACGGCGACUACGAUCGGACCAUCAAGGUGGAGGUGUACGACUGGGAUCGGGACGGCAGCCAUGACUUCAUUGGGGAGUUCACCACCAGUUACCGGGAGCUGGCCCGUGGGCAGAGCCAAUUCAACAUCUAUGAGGUGGUAAACCCGAAAAAGAAAAUGAAGAAAAAGAAAUACGUGAAUUCUGGCACAGUCACCCUGCUUUCCUUUGCUGUGGAGUCAGAGUGCACCUUCCUUGACUACAUCAAAGGAGGGACCCAGAUCAACUUCACUGUGGCCAUUGAUUUCACUGCCUCCAAUGGGAACCCCUCACAGUCCACAUCCCUGCACUACAUGAGCCCCUACCAGCUGAACGCCUACGCGCUGGCGCUGACUGCCGUCGGAGAGAUCAUCCAGCACUACGACAGUGACAAGAUGUUCCCUGCCCUGGGCUUCGGGGCCAAGCUGCCCCCGGAUGGCAGAGUGUCCCACGAGUUCCCGCUGAAUGGCAACCAGGAGAACCCCUCAUGCUGCGGCAUCGACGGCAUCCUGGAGGCCUACCACCGCAGCCUGCGCACCGUGCAGCUGUACGGCCCCACCAACUUUGCCCCCGUGGUCACCCACGUGGCCAGGAAUGCAGCGGCCGUGCAGGACGGCUCCCAGUACUCGGUGCUGCUCAUCAUUACUGAUGGGGUCAUCUCGGACAUGGCGCAGACCAAGGAGGCCAUUGUCAACGCACAGCCUGGUUUCCUUUGCUCUUUAUCUCUGAGUGCCCUCCCUCUCCCUACCCCCUUUUCUGUGUUCCUCUGUCUCUCCAUGUUCACUCUCCCAUUUCUUUCCUGCUCACCCCUUCCUGUCCUACCCCUGAUUUCUCCUUCCUUUUAACUGGGUCCCAAUCGGGUCCAACCUUCCCCUGCCCCCCAUGCUGUCUCCCAGGCUGCCAAGCUCCCCAUGUCCAUCAUUAUCGUCGGCGUGGGCCAGGCAGAGUUCGACGCCAUGGUGGAGCUGGAUGGCGACGACGUGCGGAUCUCCUCCCGGGGGAAGCUGGCUGAACGCGACAUCGUCCAGUUUGUACCCUUCCGGGACUAUGUGGACCGCACAGGCAACCACGUGCUGAGCAUGGCCCGCCUGGCCCGAGACGUGCUGGCAGAGAUCCCUGACCAACUGGUGUCCUACAUGAAGGCACAGGGCAUUCGCCCGCGUCCCCCACCUGCAGCACCAACCCACUCGCCCUCGCAGUCCCCAGCCCGCACGCCCCCUGCGUCCCCCCUGCACACGCACAUCUGAACCUGGUCUCAGCAGGCAGGUGGCUGGGGCCUGGGAGAGGCCAGGCGAACGGGAGGCCAGGGCCCCAGACUCCCCAAAGCUGGCCUGCCCAACCUUUGGGACAUCUGUGUGCCUGGGAGGCUGCCAGGGGGUGGGGCUUCUGAAGACCCCUCCUCAAUUUCUUGGCCUCACUUAUUGCCCAAACCCAGGGAGUUAGGGGGGUACAGGUGAAAGAGGGGUACACAGGGACCCAGCCCUUCUCUUCUUCCCCAAUACCUGGCUCUAACCCAGCCAGGAAGGUGUAAACAAUAAGGGUGAUUGGGGUCCCUGUCGCCCACCCCCGGCAAUCCUAUUUGCUUACCUGUCACCCUGAAGCCUGGGCUUGGCCUCCUCCAGCCCCCCAUCUCCGUCCCAUCCUCCCAUGGUGUCUACUCCUGUCCCUGAGCCCCGCCCUGUGGUCUAUCCUGUGCCCGAUUUCCAGUGAACCCCAUGAAGCUGAUGGGUUUGCAGGAAGGCCUGAACAUGUGCACCCUCCCAGGGACACUGGAUGCACUGGGAGCCCCGGGGACCCAUGGGGUGCUGUAAUCAUGGACCGUAGGCCAUGUGAUGGGCCUGAAGUGGAGGCUGCUCAGCACAGAGCCCUUUCUGGUGCCUCUCGAACUCAGUACGAUGCAAGUUCUAGACACACAGAUGGCCUGUGGAGGCCUCUCCCUGGUGUGGGCCCACAGGUACUUCCAUGGUUGACUCCUGGCUUCAGGAAUCCCUUCCUCCCUCCAGAGGCUUCCCAGGGCCCUCGGUGCCCACGCCUCUGCCCACCUGGAGGCCUGAGUAAGGAGUGGCUCAGCCCCACGUUCCCACACUGCUCCUGCUCUUUGCCCUGUAUCCCAUGAGGCUAGGAGACAGGAGUCCUGGGUUUGAGCCCUGCCUCCUCCCACUGCCUAAUGUGGGAACCCAAGCAAGGCCCUUCUACCUUUUGGGCCUCAGUUUCCAUGUCUGUAUGACAAGAGGGUUGACCAGAUGGCCCCAGGUUUUCCUUUAGAUCUGACGUCCUGAGGGUCAUUCAUCCCAUGCCCAGCUCCCCCCAUCCUACUCCUAACAGAUGUGACCCUACUUGAGGCCGCCUUGGCUUUUGGGUCACCCUGUCCCACCCCAUCACCCCAAACACACCCUAGUCCUUCAGCCUGGGGCUCUGGCAUCUGAGCCCGAGCUCCUGCCCCUGCUGUGGGAAAGGUGGGGAAGAAGGGGAUCUCCCUCCCGGGCCCACCCAGCUGCCUUUGCCCACUCGGGGAGCAGGUCAUGCAUGCCAAUCCCUGUUGCCGCAUGGAGCUCCUCAGCCCACUGACCUCUCCGUGCCUGGUGCAGGCCAGGCCCCCGUCUUCCGCCUGCCUCUGCUUCCCCUUCAUGCAUGGUGGUGGUGUUUCUACGGUGUCUGGUUCUGUGCCCGUCUCUGAGACAGUCUCUGUGUGGAAUUUGCCUUAAACUGAAGUAAAUUUGGUUCUUUUAGUAAA